rnacentral:lncRNA from 1 species
CCGGUACCGGGAUUCAACCCCGGGCCCCAUCCCCGGUACCGGGAUCCACCCUCGGUACCGAGAUUCACCCCCAAGAUCCACCCCCGGUACCGGGAUCCAGCCCCGGGCCCCAUCCCCGGUACCGAGACCCAUCCCCGGGAUCCACCCCCGGUACCGAGAUCCAGCCCCGGGAUCCAGCCCCGGUACCGGGAUCCGGCCCCGGGCCCCAUCCCCGGUACCGAGAGCCACCCCCGGGAUCCAUUCCGGGUACCGCGAUCCAGCCCCGGUACCGGGAUCCAGCCCCAAGAUCCACCCCCGGUACCGGGAUCCACCCCUGGGCCCCAUUCCCGGUACCGGGAUCCAUUCCCGGUAUCGAAAUUCACCCCCGGGAUCCACCCCCAGCCCCGGGAUCCAGACCCGGUUCCCCGGUCCCGGGAUCCAGCCCCAUCCCUCAUUCCCGGUAUCAAUUCCCAUCCCGGUUGCCGGGAUCCAUCCCCCGCUUCCCGCCGCCAGGAUCCGUCCCCCGGUACCGGUCUCCAUCCUCAUUCCCGGUUCCGUUUCCCGGGAUCCAUCCCCGGUUCCCGGUAUCUCUGGCCAUUCCCGGUUACCGGGAUCCAUUCCCUUUCCCGGUUCCCGGUAUCUCCGGCCCUUCCCGGUUCCCGGGAUCCAUCCCCGGUCCCAUUCCCGGUUCCCGGUCCCAUUCCUGGUGCCGGUUCCCGGUAUCUCUGGCCGUUCCCGGUUCCCGGGAUCCAUCCCCGGUCCCAUUCCCGGUUCCCGGUCCCAUUCCUGGUG